ACUCAAAUGAAUUGACGGGGACCCGCACAACCUGUGGAGCGUGUGGUUCAAUUCGAGACAAAACGAAAAACCUCACCAGGGUUUGACAUGCUAUCGUACAUUCUCUUGGAAACUUGAGGAAAUCCGCAAGGAUGAUAGCACAGGUGCUGCAUGGCUGUCGUCAGCUCGUGCCGUGAGGUGUUCCCUUAAGUGGGGAAACGAGCGCAACCCCCAUCCAAUGUUAAAUAUUCAUUGGAAACGGUCCCGCUUUUAACGGGAAGGAAGGAGGGGAAGACGUCAAGUCAGCACGGCCCUUAUACCCUGGGCUACACACACACUACAAUGGCGAAUAACAACGGGCCGCAAGCUAGCAAUAGCAAGCAAAUCCCUAAAAUUUCGCCUCAGUUCAGAUUGAGGGCUGCAACUCGCCCUCAUGAAGCCGGAAUAGGUAGUAAUCGCAGAUCAGCAAGCUGCGGUGAAUACGUUCUCGGGUCUUGUACACACCGCCCGU
rnacentral:rRNA from 1 species